UACGGAGGGGGCAAGCGUUGUCCGGAAUCAUUGGGCGUAAAGAGCGUGUAGGCGGUCCGGUCAGUCGGUUGUGAAAGUCAAGGGCUCAACCCUUGAAUGCCGGCCGAUACUGCCGGGCUAGAGUCCGGAAGAGGUGAGUGGAAUUCCUGGUGUAGCGGUGAAAUGCGCAGAUAUCAGGAGGAACACCGAUGGCGAAGGCAGCUCACUGGGACGGUACUGACGCUGAGACGCGAAAGCGUGGGGAGCAAACAGG
rnacentral:rRNA from 1 species